AGGUGGGCGUAGCUACGUGGAUACUUCGAAUAUCAGAAUUCCGUAUGUCCUUGGUUCAAACUCUAGGGCUAAUCCACUUGCGCUGUCCUGCCUUUUG
rnacentral:vault_RNA from 1 species